GAUCAUUAUCAUUAGGCCGUCUGCUUCAGUGCGGCCGCAACAACGAAUGCUUGACACGGUAAGUCCUGGGGUUGCCAUCGCGGUUAGGUCCGACUCAGGUCACUCCAUGUGCGCGUGUCAUUGCGCCUUCUUUGUUAUCCUUUCUGUGUAUAUUACUUCUGUUGCUUCCCGCAGAGCAUUUGGUCCAUGGGGCUGAACCUGCGGGGAGGGAAUCAUAAACUCUGGUCUUGUAUUGGUGGUCUGAGUGGUUUGUCACAUAAAAACAAGUUAAAACUUUCAACAACGGAUCUCUUGGUUCUCGUAUCGAUGAAGAACGCAGCGAAAUGCGAUAAGUAGUGUGAAUUGCAGAAUUCAGUGAAUCAUCGAAUCUUUGAACGCACAUUGCGCCUUCUGGUAAUCCGGGAGGCAUGCCUGUUCGAGCGUCAUAAAGCACACCCUCAAGCAUCUAGGCUUGGUCUUGGAGGAAGAUGCUUGCAUCUCCUCUGAAAUUCCUCAGCGGAUACUUCUGUGGUCCCAGGUGUGAUAUAUCAUUUUCACUUGAUGGCUACAGGUAUGCUCUUGCUGUCAAAUGCCCCCCCAGCUUUGUAUACGUUUGACCUCGAAUCAGGUAGGGAUACCCGCUGAACUUAAGCAUAUCAAUAAGCGGAGGAAAAGAAACCAACAGGGAUUGCCUCAGUAACUGCGAGUGAAGCGGCAAAAGCUCAAAUUUGAAAUCUGACACCUUUGGGUGUCCGAGUUGUAAUUUGGAGAGGCAACUUCGAAGGAGGCGCUGGCCUAAGUUCCUUGGAACAGGACGUCACAGAGGGUGAGAAUCCCGUGCUUGGCUGGCUGUCCUUCUUCAUGUGAAGUGUCUUCGACGAGUCGAGUUGUUUGGGAAUGCAGCUCAAAAUGGGUGGUAAACUCCAUCUAAGGCUAAAUAUUGGCGAGAGACCGAUAGCGCACAAGUAGAGUGAUCGAAAGAUGAAAAGCACUUUGAAAAGAGAGUUAAAAAGUACGUGAAAUUGUUGAAAGGGAAGCGCUUGAGACCAGACUCGGUGAUUGGUGAUCAGCGGUUGCUUUUGCUCCGUGCACUUGCCUUUCACUGGGCCAGCAUCAGUUGUGACGGCGGGAUAAAGACCGGGGGAAUGUGGCUCCCUUCGGGGAGUGUUAUAGCCCUGGGUGUAAUGCCGCCUGUUGCAACUGAGGACCGCGCU
rnacentral:rRNA from 1 species